rnacentral:rRNA from 1 species
GAUGAACGCUGACAGAAUGCUUAACACAUGCAAGUCUACUUGAAUUUGGGUUUUUUAACUUAGAUUUGGGUGGCGGACGGGUGAGUAACGCGUAAAGAACUUGCCUCACAGUUAGGGACAACAUUUGGAAACGAAUGCUAAUACCUGAUAUUAUGAAUAUAUGGCAUCAUAUAAUUAUGAAAGCUAUAAGCGCUGUGAGGGAGCUUUGCGUCCCAUUAGCUAAUUGGAGAGGUAACGGCUCACCAAGGCGAUGAUGGGUAGCCGGCCUGAGAGGGUGAACGGCCACAAGGGGACUGAGACACGGCCCUUACUCCUACGGGAGGCAGCAGUGGGGAAUAUUGGACAAUGGACCAAGAGUCUGAUCCAGCAAUUCUGUGUGCACGAUGACGUUUUUCGGAAUGUAAAGUGCUUUCAGUUGGGAAGAAAAAAAUGACGGUACCAACAGAAGAAGUGACGGCUAAAUACGUG